AGAGUUUGAUCCUGGCUCAGGACAACGCUGGCGGCGUGCUUAACACAUGCAAGUCGAGCGGAAAGGCUCCUUCGGGGGUACUCGAGCGGCGAACGGGUGAGUAACACGUGAGUAAUCUGCCCUUGGCUUUGGGAUAACUACCGGAAACGGUGGCUAAUACCGGAUACGACCACUCCUUGCAUGAGGUGGUGGUGGAAAGUUUUUUCGGCCAGGGAUGUGCUCGCGGCCUAUCAGCUUGUUGGUGGGGUAAUGGCCUACCAAGGCUUCGACGGGUAGCCGGCCUGAGAGGGUGACCGGCCACACUGGGACUGAGACACGGCCCAGACUCCUACGGGAGGCAGCAGGUGGGGAAUAUUGGACAAUGGGCGGAAGCCUGAUCCAGCAACGCCGCGUGGGGGAUGACGGCCUUCGGGUUGUAAACCUCUUUCAGUACCGACGAAGCGCCGAUGAUGGUGGUGACGGUAGGUACAGAAGAAGCACCGGCCAACUACGUG
rnacentral:rRNA from 1 species